AAGUCGUAACAAGGUUUCCGUAGGUGAACCUGCGGAAGGAUCAUUAACACGUAUCCAACGUUAAACCCCAGCAAUCCCUGGUAAAUCAUUGCCGAACAGUUUUGAUUCAGGGACUUCUGCGUAGACUGUGCUUGAGCGUGAGGCAAGUGGCCUGGCAUUCCUCUGCUUGUUGGUGUCUGAAAGUGUCACCAGCUCUGUACGAAUGGCGCAGUCACGAUCGCUAGAGGCCGACACGGCCGGCGACCGGGUCACUGGGCGCGAGCCCCCCUCGUCACCUUUGCAUGAAAACGGGCCUGCGCUUAAUUGUGCGGCCACCAAACUCGAACAACUGUUAACAAUGGAUAUCUUGGUUCUC
rnacentral:misc_RNA from 1 species